GGUGGAUGGCCGAGCGGUCCAAGGCGCUGGUUUUAGGCACCAGUCUCUUCGGAGGCGUGGGUUCGAAUCCCACUCUCGUCA
rnacentral:tRNA from 1 species